ACGAACGCUGGCGGCGUGCUUAACACAUGCAAGUCGAACGGUGAAGCGCCUUCCUUUUUGGUGGGUGUGGAUGAGUGGCGAACGGGUGAGUAACACGUGAGUAACCUGCCCCCUUCUUCUGGAUAACCGCAUGAAAGUGUGGCUAAUACGGGAUAUUCUGGGUCUGUCGCAUGAUGGGUCUGGGAAAGAUAUUGUUUCGGUGGGGGAUGGGCUCGCGGCCUAUCAGCUUGUUGGUGGGGUGAUGGCCUACCAAGGCGGUGACGGGUAGCCGGCCUGAGAGGGUGGACGGUCACACUGGGACUGAGACACGGCCCAGACUCCUACGAGGGGGAGCAGUGGGGAAUAUUGCACAAUGGGCGCAAGCCUGAUGGAGCGACGCCGCGUGAGGGAUGGAGGCCUUCGGGUUGUGAACCUCUUUCGCCAGUGAAGCAGGCCUGCCUCGUUUGUGGGUGGGUUGACGGUAGCUGGAUAAGAAGCGCCGGCUAACUACGUG
rnacentral:rRNA from 1 species